rnacentral:rRNA from 1 species
AACGUAGGGGGCCAGCGUUGCUCGGAAUUACUGGGCGUAAAGGGUCCGUAGGCGGUGUGGCAAGUCGGAAGUGAAAUCUCUGGGCUUAACCCAGAGGCUGCUUCCGAAACUGCUGUGCUAGAGGAUGAGAGAGGCGAGUGGAAUUGCGGGUGUAGCGGUGAAAUGCGUAGAUAUCCGCAGGAACAUCCGAGGCGAAAGCGGCUCGCUGGAUCAUUUCUGACGCUGAGGGACGAAAGCUAGGGGAGCAAACAGG